rnacentral:rRNA from 1 species
UACGGAGGGUGCAAGCGUUGUCCGGAUUUAUUGGGUUUAAAGGGUGCGUAGGCGGGCCUUUAAGUCAGUGGUGAAAGCCGACAGCUCAACUGUCGAAAUGCCAUUGAUACUGGGGGCCUUGAGUACAGUAGAGGUAGGCGGAAUUGAUGGUGUAGCGGUGAAAUGCAUAGAUACCAUCAAGAACACCGAUUGCGAAGGCAGCUUACUAUAGUGUAACUGACGCUGAGGCACGAAAGUGUGGGGAUCAAACAGG